rnacentral:misc_RNA from 1 species
GAUGAAGAACGUAGCGAAAUGCGAUAAGUAAUGUGAAUUGCAGAAUUCAGUGAAUCAUCGAAUCUUUGAACGCACAUUGCGCCCGCCAGCACUCUGGCGGGCAUGCCUGUUCGAGCGUCAUUUCAACCAUCAAGCCCCCAGGGGCUUGUGCUGGGGCCCAGCGGCUGCCCGCAGGCCCUGAAAACCAGUGGCGGGCUCGCUAGUCACACCGAGCGCAGUAGCACAUCUCGCUCAGGGCGUGCGGCGGGCUCCUGCCGUGAAACCCCCCGCUGUAACCCCAAAGGUUGACCUCGGAUCAGGUAGGAAUACCCGCUGAACUUAAGCAUAUCAAUAAGCGGAGGA